rnacentral:lncRNA from 7 species
AAAAGGUAUGCCACAAGGCUUAUAUGAGAACAUGCGUGUGCAUGUAGUUUGACUCUCCAUCAAGUUGCGAAGUUUUAUUGUAUCCUUUCCUUUUGGUGCAGUGUCAUAGGGCCUCAUUAGGUAUAUAUAUUAUAUCUUCUCCAGGCAGAUCCUUGGGGCCUUCUUGAUUAUUAUUAGGUCCUUCUUAAGUAUUUUGGAGAACUGGAGACUGGGACCCUUCAUCCAAAUAGGACCCAAAAUGUGUCCGGAUGCGUUGUAUUAUUACACUUCCCGAUGUAUAAUGAAUUCCAUCUAAGUCAAUAAGUGUCGGCGUUUCGAACC